rnacentral:lncRNA from 1 species
CAGAUUUUCUCCAAGGACCACCUGGGGAAAAAAGAUUUCGUGAACUCUGCAAAAAAACAAAAAAUCUAAAUUCAAAUUAACAAAUUUACAAAAUUAUGAAAAAAUCAAUAAAUUAAAAGCAGUAAUAAAAAAAUGACAAACAGAAGGGGUGGUCUCUGCUGAAAGUUUCCCUUUAAUCACCAUAUUUACAGAAAAACUCUAAACAUUGCUACACAGUAUCAAUGAAAGGCCAGAACAAUGAUUUGUAGUUGCAUUAUGCAACUACAAAUCAUAGGUGGAUAUAUUUAAAAACAAAUAUGUAACACAUAAUAAAUAAAGACAAUCACUGAAUUACAGGCUCCUGACUUGUGACAGGCACACUCAGCAGGCAC